CGGGGGGAGCAAGCGUUGUUCGGAUUUACUGGGCGUAAAGGGCGCGUAGGCGGCCACCGCAAGUCGACUGUGAAAUCUCCGGGCUUAACUCGGAAAGGUCAGCCGAUACUGCGGGGCUAGAGUGCAGAAGGGGCAACUGGAAUUCUCGGUGUAGCGGUGAAAUGCGUAGAUAUCGAGAGGAACACCUGCGGCGAAGGCGGGUUGCUGGGCUGACACUGACGCUGAAGUGCGAAAGCUAGGGGAGCGAACGGGAUUAGAUACCCCGGUAGUCCUAGCCUUAAACGAUGAAUGCUUGGUGUCUGGGGUUUUAUAGUCCCCGGGUGCCGUCGCUAACGCUUUAAGCAUUCCGCCUGGGGAGUACGGUCGCAAGACUG
rnacentral:rRNA from 1 species